rnacentral:piRNA from 1 species
AUGUUCAACAUCCUUAAUCAUCAGGGAAA